CAGUCGCCACGGGAAUACGAAGGGGGCUAGCGUUGUUCGGAUUUACUGGGCGUAAAGGGCGCGUAGGCGGACUGAUAAGUCAGGGGUGAAAUCCCAAGGCUCAACCUUGGAACUGCCUUUGAUACUGUUUGUCUUGAGUUCGAGAGAGGUAAGUGGAACUGCGAGUGUAGAGGUGAAAUUCGUAGAUAUUCGCAAGAACACCAGCGGCGAAGGCGGCUUACUGGCUCGAUACUGACGCUGAGGCGCGAAAGCGUGGGGAGCAAACAGGAUUAGAUACCCCUGUAGUCCCUGUCUCUUAUAA
rnacentral:rRNA from 1 species